GACGAACGCUGGCGGCGUGCCUAAUACAUGCAAGUUGAACGCUAAAGCUUUAACUGGUGCUUGCACCGACUUAAGUUUUUAGAGUAGCGGACGGGUGAGUAACACGUGGGUAACCUGCCCAUCAGAGGGGGAUAACACUUGGAAACAGGUGCUAAUACCGCAUAAUUCCUUUUACCGCAUGGUAAAAGGCUGAAAGGCGCUUCUGGUGUCACUGAUGGAUGGACCCGCGGUGCAUUAGCUAGUUGGUGAGGUAACGGCUCACCAAGGCCACGAUGCAUAGCCGACCUGAGAGGGUGAUCGGCCACAUUGGGACUGAGACACGGCCCAAACUCCUACGGGAGGCAGCAGUAGGGAAUCUUCGGCAAUGGACGAAAGUCUGACCGAGCAACGCCGCGUGAGUGAAGAAGGUUUUCGGAUCGUAAAACUCUGUUGUUAGAGAAGAACAAGGAUGAGAGUAACUGUUCAUCCCUUGACGGUAUCUAACCAGAAAGCCACGGCUAACUACGUGCCAGCCGCCGCAGUAAUAC
rnacentral:rRNA from 1 species